AAAUACAUGUUCUGAUCGAUAUUCUCUAAAAGAAUUCCACAAGAUUAUUCAUAUCUAUCUUGAGCAAAACUAUGAAAGUCCUGAUCAACUUUUCUCCCAAUUGCUACAAUCUUCAAUCAAGAAAUAGUUCCUGAUGGUUGAUUCCAUUAUUGCUUCUUUUCUGAAUGCCUUGUAGCCUUUUGGCAUCAAGUCAGAAAGAAAGCCUCCGAAAUUGGAUGAAGAAAGAAAAAUG
rnacentral:lncRNA from 1 species